CCAUAUUUUGAGCAAAAAAUCUAAAUUUGAUUGUCAAAUACAUUCAUACAUAGGAAUAAAAACAUAAUUGUGAGAUGUCAGCUCAAGACAUUUCUGAGAGGGGAAAAAAGGUAGUGGUUAUUAAUAUAGUUAGUAGUUAGUAGUCAGAUAUGUGGAUUAUUUAUUUAUUUAUUUUGUGUUUGUGUAUUGAAAAGAAUUGAUCACACCAGAUGCCAGUAAUCUUGACAAAGUGGAACAGCACCAAUAUCUCUACACAAAACAGAUUCCUAGAGGACAUUUAUCCUCCUAAUGUGUUUUCGUUGAAUGCAGAUCACACUAACUUGAUUACUUGAUAGGCUCUGCACCUGCACAUGACACAAACACUAAUAUGCAUUAAUCAUUAUGCAAAUGAUGCAGCAUUGACAAAAAAGAAAUGUGACUUUUUUUAAUCCUUUUUUUAAUCAAAUUUUUAUCAAAUGCAGUAACUGCUGCAUGCUGCAUGAGGGGGCAUGAGGGAGUCAUUAUCAGUUAAGUUUAUCUGGAUCAGAAAAUAAGAGGAGUAGGAAGUUUGAGGAAGGACAUGAGCUGGGAGUGUUUGCUCUCCCCGCUUACUCAAACCCUUAUUGAGGAACAUUGGUUUUCUUCAUCUCAAUGUUUGGACUGCUCUUCCUCUAAUGGCACAUUGUCCUGGUAAACAGGGGUUCUUCUUUCAAGAGAACAGCAUUGAAGGUUUCUCCUCCAGAAGUGCUACUAACUUCCUCCGGGGGCAGAGACAUGCUUUGAAUGCCUUCUAAAUCAGGAUUAAUGGAUUGUGACACUGGGGCAUUGGGCUGGCGAGUGAAAUUGUUACUGAUGAUUUUGUCACAAAGUAAAAAAUGGCCUUCAGAAGGAAAUUACCCAUGCUUGAGGGAGUUCCUCUUGCACAUCUGCAUUUCCUCCAAAUUGUUUCUAAAGAUGGGAUACCUGAGCACUUGUGAACAUUCACUUUACAUCCUGUGGUCCUGCUGAGGUGAGGACGCUGACCUCCAUUCUGCUGCUAAUCAGGAUUUACACAAGCUUCAGUCUGGAUCCAGAACACCUGAGAAGAGAUGACCCCUCAGAGGAACCCAGAUGAUGCUAACCCUGAAACAACAUACAGAACUACCAAAUGUUGCUGUUAGUUUGAUUGCAUCUAAUUAUAAUUGCUGUUAAUAGUUUUCAUCGUCUGUUUGAUUACGUCUUUAAUUGAUUUUUUUUUUUUUUCAUACAUUUCUGCCAUAUGCACAUUAACUGACAGUCACCACUGAUAAGCUACUACCACUACUAUUGUAGAAACUAAAUUGUCUGUAAAGUUGCUUUGCAAUGAUUUGUAUCGUAAAAUGCGCUAUACAUUUAAACUUGAAUUUA
rnacentral:lncRNA from 1 species